rnacentral:ncRNA from 1 species
UGUUCUUUGUACACACCGCCCGUCGCCAUUUCAGAUGAUGUUGGAUAUGAAGAGCCUAGGUUCUGAAUAUUCAACAUUGGAUGAUGUGUAAGUCGUAACAAGGUUACUGUAGGUGAACCUGCCGUAAGAUUAAGU